rnacentral:rRNA from 1 species
UACGUAGGGGGCAAGCGUUGUCCGGAAUCAUUGGGCGUAAGAGCGUGUAGGCGGCUCGGUAAGUCCGCUGUGAAAGUCCAGGGCUCAGCCCUGGAAUGCCGGUGGAAACUGUUGAGCUAGAGUCCGGAAGAGGCGAGUGGAAUUCCUGGUGUAGCGGUGAAAUGCGCAGAUAUCAGGAGGAACACCAAUGGCGAAGGCAGCUCGCUGGGACGGUACUGACG